GGCUUCGUGCUCAGCUGAUAGACUUGCGCUUUGAACAAUGCUGUUUCUGUCGCUGGUUCGAAUCCAGCCGAAGUCC